CACGUAGGGUGCGAGCGUUGUCCGGAAUUAUUGGGCGUAAAGAGCUCGUAGGCGGUGUGUCGCGUCGGCCGUGAAAACCUGCAGCUUAACUGUGAGCGUGCGGGCGAUACGGGCAGACUUGAGUACUGCAGGGGAGACUGGAAUUCCUGGUGUAGCGGUGGAAUGCGCAGAUAUCAGGAGGAACACCGGUGGCGAAGGCGGGUCUCUGGGCAGUAACUGACGCUGAGGAGCGAAAGCGUGGGGAGCGAACAGG
rnacentral:rRNA from 1 species